rnacentral:lncRNA from 1 species
CAAAAGUGCUGGGAUUACAGGUGUGAGCCACCGCACCUGACCUGCUUGUUCAUUUUCUUAAAAGUGGAUGAUGACAGGUUCUUACUCUGUCACCCAGGCUGAAGUGCAAUGGAUCUAUCUCGGCUCACUGCAGCCUUGACCUCCCAGGCUCAGGUGAUCAUUCCACCUCAGCCUCCUGAGUAGUUGGGACUACAGGCACAUGGCACCACGUCCAGCUAGUUUUUGUAUUUUUUUUGUAGAGACGAGGUUUCACCAUGUUGCCCCGGCUGGGCUUGAACUCCUGGCCUCAAGCGAUCCACUCGCCUUGGCCUCCCAAAGUGCUAGAAUUACAGGCAUGAGGUACUGAGCCUGGCUUGACUUAUAAUUCUGAUGAAAAUGUUCAAUGUCAACUUAAGAAUGGGCAAGGGAGCACAUGGGCUUUUGGAAUUCUUUUUUUUUUUUUUUUUUUUGAGAUGGAGUCUUGCUCUGUCACCCAGGCUGGAGUGCAGUGGCAUGAUCUCGGCUCACUGCAACCUCCGCCUCCCGGGUUCAAGCGAUUCUCCUGCCCCAGCCUCCCAAGUAGCUGAGAUUACAGGCAUGCACCAACACGCCCAGCUAAUUUUGUAUUUUUAGUAGAGAUGUGGUUUCACCGUGUUGGUCAGGCUGGCCUCGAACUUCUGACCUCAAGUGAUCUACCCACCUCGGCCUCCCAAAGUGCUGGGAUUACAGGUGUGAGCCACCGCGCCCGGCCACUUUUGAAAUUCUUUCAGGAGAUUCCCGAGUGAAAUGUCUGAAGACUGCUGCCUUGGGAACAGGAGCCAUGGGACACUUGCUGCCUCCGGCUGCCGGCGGAUUUGGGUUUUCCCUCCUCUCAUCCUUCUCUCCCAGCCACACUCAGGCCUGGGGCUCCAUUCUGCUGCCCACAAGGUACGAAGUGGGUUAGAAGCAGCAAGGGGACCCACAGGCAAAAAUACUCCUGGGAGACAGUGGCGAGGGGCACAUGUUCCCCGGGGCUACUAGGAAGUGGCCCCAGAUAACGUCUCAGCUGAUGACAGACUUUUAAUCACUAAAAGGGUGCAUUCUGGGAAUUUCCUCAGGGACAGGAGAUGAUGGCCAGACAGCGGACUGGCUGCCUGUCAGGGCACAGCCCCACUCCAUCCGGAACAACAUGGGGAGUGAGCGACGGGGUGGGAGGAAGGGAGGGAGCAUCAGCCCUGAAGUCACCAGGCAUGUCUGGGCUCUGCGUCCCAGGGCUGUGGCUGUUGGCCCAGAAGCAAGAAGAAAGGUGUCCCUGUUGCCUGGCCCCUGGCAGGGGACAGGGCCUCAGUCUUCACUGGGAACAGUGGGUAGAGACAUGGGACAGCAUGGUAGCAGUCAGCUUUGGGGCCAGGACAUGCUACCCUCAGCUGGUUCCUCCCUUGGGAGCCAGGGCAAGGUACCAGGGCCUCUUGGGACUGUCUGGUUGUACCUCUCCAUAUUGGGCAAGUGACAGACACUCUUGGAACCUCAGUCUCUUCAUCUGCCUGCCCCAAAAGAGUGGCUGUCAGUGCAAAGGGGAUGGAGAAGGUGACUCUGGGUCACCACCCAGCAUUGCACCCAGGAGGGUUCAUUACCGAGCUCCUGUUAUAUGGCUAAGCUCUGGCUUGGAGGGAUGGGUGGAAACAAGUUGAGGCAGGGUCUCCAACACUCCAACAAAAGGGGCAGCCAUAGCCCUGCCCAGGAGGCAAGGCUAAGCCUGGGGGCUAUUAGAAAAGUGGUCAUGGCUGUGAAAGGUAGCCUGAAAAACGAAGGCUUACGAGUUAGGUCAGGGCCCAGAAUCCCUCCUCCCACACUCACUAGCUGUGAUAAAUCAUGAAACUGUAUUGAGCCUUGAUUUUCUCAUCUGUAAAAUGGGGAUGACAAUAGGGCCUACCUCCCAGGGUUGUUAUGAGAGCAGGAACCUUGCUCACCACUGCAUCCCAUCAGGACAAUGCCUGGCAUGUGGUAGGUGCUCAAUAAAUGUAUGUGACUAAAUGAGAAACAUUCAAGUGCCUCCUGCGGGGCUAGGCACAGAAUAGGUACACAAUAACUGGUAGUCCUUCCCUCCUGCCGCCCCUGGCUAGGGCUCUGGACUUCUAGUCUGGUGCCUUCAUCCAUGGCCCAGUAGUACCAGGAGCAGCAGCUCAGCCCAUUUCUCUCUUCCCUGAACCUAGUUGGCA